GCCCGCGUAGCUCAAUCGGAUAGAGCGUCAGACUCUUAGCAUUCGCGGGCAAUCUGAAGGCUGCGAGUUCGACCCUCGCCGUGGGCU